CCGUGCUAGACGGGGAGUUAGCGGUGCCCUGUAGCCCGAGAUCCGCUUCAGCGGGGUCGAAUCCCCUUCGAAGGGCUGUGGCUGAGCUGGCCGUGUCUAAUUCCGGCGCCGGUUGGACACCACGCAACAGACGACUACGAACCCCGUCAGGUCCGGAAGGAAGCAGCGGUAAGUAUCAUCGGCUGUGUCGCGGUCAAAUCUAGCCUGGUUGCCCGAAGGUGCGCGGUCAGUAUUGGCCGGUUCGACGGAGGGUGCACGG
rnacentral:SRP_RNA from 1 species